UUCCUACGGGAGGCAGCAGUGGGGAAUAUUGCGCAAUGGGCGGAAGCCUGACGCAGCGACGCCGCGUGAGGGAUGACGGCCUUCGGGUUGUAAACCUCUUUCAGCAGGGACGAAGCGCAAGUGACGGUACCUGCAGAAGAAGCACCGGCCAACUACGUGCCAGCAGCCGCGGUAAUACGUAGGGUGCAAGCGUUGUCCGGAAUUAUUGGGCGUAAAGAGCUCGUAGGCGGUCUGUCGCGUCGGCUGUGAAAUCUCGGGGCUCAACCCCGAGCCUGCAGUCGAUACGGGCAGACUAGAGUGCUGUAGGGGAGACUGGAAUUCCUGGUGUAGCGGUGAGAUGCGCAGAUAUCAGGAGGAACACCGGUGGCGAAGGCGGGUCUCUGGGCAGUAACUGACGCUGAGGAGCGAAAGCGUGGGGAGCGAACAGGAUUAGAUACCCUGGUAGUCCACGCCGUAAACGGUGGGUGCUAGGUGUGAGCGGUAUUCCACGCCGUUCGUGCCGCAGCUAACGCAUUAAGCACCCCGCCUGGGGAGUACGGCCGCAAGGCUAAAACUCAAAGGAAUUGACGGGGGCCCGCACAAGCAGCGGAGCAUGUGGCUUAAUUCGACGCAACGCGAAGAACCUUACCAAGGCUUGACAUACACCGAAAACUCGUAGAGAUACGGGGUCCCCAAGGGCGGUGUACAGGUGGUGCAUGGUUGUCGUCAGCUCGUGUCGUGAGAUGUUGGGUUAAGUCCCGCAACGAGCGCAACCCUCGUUCUAUGUUGCCAGCGCGUGAUGGCGGGGACUCAUAGGAGACUGCCGGGGUCAACUCGGAGGAAGGUGGGGACGACGUCAAAUCAUCAUGCCCCUUAUGUCUUGGGCUGCACACAUGCUACAAUGGCCGGUACAAAGGGCUGCUAAACCCCGAGGUGGAGCGAAUCCCAAAAAGCCGGUCUCAGUUCGGAUUGGGGUCUGCAACUCGACCCCAUGAAGUCGGAGUUGCUAGUAAUCGCAGAUCAGCAACGCUGCGGUGAAUACGUUCCCGGGCCUUGUACACACCGCC
rnacentral:rRNA from 1 species